rnacentral:rRNA from 1 species
GGGAGGCGUACAUGCAAAGUCGACGGACUUACCAGAAGCAGGAGAUGCUUGCAUUGACUAACGGAAGUGUAAGUUACUGGCGGACGGGUGAGUAACGCGUGGGCAACCUGCCCCAUACCGGGGGAUAACACCUGGAAACAGGUGCUAAAACCGCAUAAGCGCACAGCUUCGCAUGAAGGUGUGUGAAAAACUCCGGUGGUAUGGGAUGGGCCCGCGUCUGAUUAGCUGGUUGGCGGGGUAACGGCCCACCAAGGCGACGAUCAGUAGCCGGCCUGAGAGGGUGGACGGCCACAUUGGGACUGAGACACGGCCCAAACUCCUACGGGAGGCAGCAGUGGGGAAUAUUGGACAAUGGGGGAAACCCUGAUCCAGCGACGCCGCGUGAGUGAAGAAGUAUUUCGGUACGUAAAGCUCUAUCAGCAGGAAAGAAAAUGACGGUACCUGACUAAGAAGCCCCGGCUAACUACGUGCCAGCAGCCGCGGUAAUACGUAGGGGGCAAGCGUUAUCCGGAUUUAUUGGGUGUAAAGGGAGCGUAGACGGCAGCGCAAGUCUGGAGUGAAAUGCCGGGGCCCAACCCCGGAACUGCUCUGGAAACUGUGAAGCUGGAGUGCAGGAGAGGUAAGCGGAAUUCCUGGUGUAGCGGUGAAAUGCGUAGAUAUCAGGAGGAACACCGGCGGCGAAGGCGGCUUACUGGACUGUAACUGACGUUGAGGCUCGAAGGCGUGGGGAGCAAACAGGAUUAGAUACCC